GAUGAAGAACGUAGUGAAAUGCGAUACGUAGUGUGAAUUGCAGAAUUCCGUGAACCAUCAAAUCUUUGAACGCAUAUUGCGCUCGAGGCUUCGGCCGAGAGCAUGUCUGCCUCAGCGUCGGUAUUACCCCUCGCUUCUCAACCCCUGGUUGAUGCCUGCCUGCCUUUGCAGUUGGCUAGAAGCGGAUCUGGCUUUCCCAAUUGCCUUUGGUAGUUGGGUCAGCUGAAGCACAGAGGCUUGAGCAAGGACCCUUAUUGGGCUUCAACUGGAUAGGUAGAACUGGUCUUAGGACCAACUACACGAAGUUGUUGCUUGUGGUCUUUGUCUGGAGGCCAGCAUGAAACCUUUAUACCUUCGACCUGAGCUCAGGCAAGAUUACCCGCUGAACUUAAGCAUAUCAAUAAGGCGGAGGA
rnacentral:misc_RNA from 1 species